UUUUUGGUAUAAGUAUGUCCCAUGCAAUAUUUGGGACAUACUUUACACUAAAA
rfam:Ailuropoda melanoleuca scaffold406_73, whole genome shotgun sequence.